rnacentral:tRNA from 1 species
AAUAAAGUGCCUGAAAAAGGGUUAUUCUGAUAGGAUAAAUCAUGUAAAAAAUUUACCUUUAUUA